rnacentral:rRNA from 1 species
CGCGUCUGUCGUGAAAGUCCGGGGCUUAACCCCGGAUCUGCGGUGGGUACGGGCAGACUAGAGUGCAGUAGGGGAGACUGGAAUUCCUGGUGUAGCGGUGGAAUGCGCAGAUAUCAGGAGGAACACCGAUGGCGAAGGCAGGUCUCUGGGCUGUAACUGACGCUGAGGAGCGAAAGCAUGGGGAGCGAACAGGAUUAGAUACCCUGGUAGUCCAUGCCGUAAACGUUGGGCACUAGGUGUGGGGACCAUUCCACGGUUUCCGCGCCGCAGCUAACGCAUUAAGUGCCCCGCCUGGGGAGUACGGCCGCAAGGCUAAAACUCAAAGGAAUUGACGGGGGCCCGCACAAGCGGCGGAGCAUGCGGAUUAAUUCGAUGCAACGCGAAGAACCUUACCAAGGCUUGACAUGUUCUCGAUCGCCGUAGAGAUACGGUUUCCCCUUUGGGGCGGGUUCACAGGUGGUGCAUGGUUGUCGUCAGCUCGUGUCGUGAGAUGUUGGGUUAAGUCCCGCAACGAGCGCAACCCUCGUUCCAUGUUGCCAGCACGUAAUGGUGGGGACUCAUGGGAGACUGCCGGGGUCAACUCGGAGGAAGGUGAGGACGACGUCAAAUCAUCAUGCCCCUUAUGUCUUGGGCUUCACGCAUGCUACAAUGGCCGGUACAAUGGGUUGGGAUACUGUGAGGUGGAGCUAAUCCCAAAAAGCCG